GAGGACCGGAGUGGACGAACCUCUGGUGUACCGGUUGUGACGCCAGUCGCAUCGCCGGGUAGCUAAGUUCGGAAGAGAUAAACGCUGAAAGCAUCUAAGCGUGAAACUCGCCUGAAGAUGAGACUUCCCUAGGGAUUUAAUCCCUCUAAAGAGACGUUCGAGACCAGGACGUUGAUAGGUCGGGUGUGGAAGAGUGGUAACACUUGCAGCUAACCGAUACUAAUUGCUCGUGAGGCUUGACUCUAU
rnacentral:rRNA from 1 species